GCUUCCGGUUCUGGUGGGCAUUUGUCUGUUGGCUGUUGUGCUACGUGUCUUUGGCUUGUGAGCGGAUGGUGGGCAGGCAUCAUGGAUCAGGUAAUGCAGUUUGUUGAGCCAAGUUGGCAGUUUGUGAAGGACUCAAUUCGGCUGGUUAAAAGAUUCACCAAACCUGAUAGAAAAGAAUUCCAGAAGAUUGCCAUGGCAACAGCAAUAGUAUUUGCUAUAAUGGGAUUCACUGGCUUUUUUGUGAAAUUGAUCCAUAUUCCUAUUAAUAACAUCAUUGUUGGUGGCUGAAUACCUUUGUAGAAAAGUGUUUUUCAUCUUGUGGAUUGGUGAACAAGUAAGGAUU